rnacentral:rRNA from 1 species
CACCGGUGAUUAGUGGCGAACGGGUGAGUAACACGUGAGUAACCUGCCCUUAACUCUGGGAUAAGCCUGGGAAACUGGGUCUAAUACCGGAUAUGACUCCUCAUCGCAUGGUGGGGGGUGGAAAGCUUUAUUGUGGUUUUGGAUGGACUCGCGGCCUAUCAGCUUGUUGGUGAGGUAAUGGCUCACCAAGGCGACGACGGGUAGCCGGCCUGAGAGGGUGACCGGCCACACUGGGACUGAGACACGGCCCAGACUCCUACGGGAGGCAGCAGUGGGGAAUAUUGCACAAUGGGCGCAAGCCUGAUGCAGCGACGCCGCGUGAGGGAUGACGGCCUUCGGGUUGUAAACCUCUUUCAGUAGGGAAGAAGCGAAAGUGACGGUACCUGCAGAAGAAGCGCCGGCUAACUACGUGCCAGCAGCCGCGGUAAUACGUAGGGCGCAAGCGUUAUCCGGAAUUAUUGGGCGUAAAGAGCUCGUAGGCGGUUUGUCGCGUCUGCCGUGAAAGUCCGGGGCUCAACUCCGGAUCUGCGGUGGGUACGGGCAGACUAGAGUGAUGUAGGGGAGACUGGAAUUCCUGGUGUAGCGGUGAAAUGCGCAGAUAUCAGGAGGAACACCGAUGGCGAAGGCAGGUCUCUGGGCAUUAACUGACGCUGAGGAGCG